rnacentral:rRNA from 1 species
ACGAACGCUGGCGGCGUGCUUAACCCCUGCAAGUCGCACGGAAAGGCCCUGCUUUUGUGAGGUGCUCGAGUGGCGAACGGGUGAGUAACACGUGAGUAACCUGCCCUUGACUUUGGGAUAACUUCAGGAAACUGGGGCUAAUACCGGAUAGGAGCUCCUGCUGCAUGGUGGGGGUUGGAAAGUUUCGGCGGUUGGGGAUGGACUCGCGGCUUAUCAGCUUGUUGGUGGGGUAGUGGCUUACCAAGGCUUUGACGGGUAGCCGGCCUGAGAGGGUGACCGGCCACAUUGGGACUGAGAUACGGCCCAGACUCCUACGGGAGGCAGCAGUGGGGAAUAUUGCACAAUGGGCGGAAGCCUGAUGCAGCAACGCCGCGUGCGGGAUGACGGCCUUCGGGUUGUAAACCGCUUUCGCCUGUGACGAAGCGUGAGUGACGGUAAUGGGUAAAGAAGCACCGGCUAACUACGUG